GAGCAUAGCUCUUGUUGGGUACGGGUGGUGCAAGGUUGGGCGGGCGCACAAUACGGUAAUAUGAUGAUUCCGCGAGUUGGCCAUGAAGUGUUGGUGAAAUUCCUAAAUGGCGAUCC
rnacentral:rRNA from 1 species